rnacentral:rRNA from 1 species
UGGUGGAGUGAUUUGUCUGGUUGAUUCCGUUAACGAACGAGACCUCGACCUGCUUACUAGUCUGGUCCAUCUUCGGAUGGAGUCAGUACUUCUUAGAGGGACUAUCGGUGUGUAGCCGAUGGAAGUUCGAGGCAAUAACA